UUAGAUUACAAACGGGAAAUGGUUACCACUUCUGUGCGUAAUGGUAAGAAAAUGGUGCGUAAUGGUAAGAAAAGUGGUAACCAUUUCCCGUUUGUAAUCUAA